GAUGAACGCUAGCUACAGGCUUAACACAUGCAAGUCGAGGGGUAGCAGGGUAGCAAUACCGCUGACGACCGGCGCACGGGUGAGUAACACGUAUCCAACCUUCCCAUAACUCAGGGAUAGCCUUUCGAAAGAAAGAUUAAUACCUGAUAGUACUUUUUCAAGGCAUCUUGAGAAAGUUAAAGAUUUAUUGGUUAUGGAUGGGGAUGCGUUCCAUUAGAUAGUUGGUGAGGUAACGGCUCACCAAGUCUUCGAUGGAUAGGGGCUCUGAGAGGAAGGUCCCCCACAUUGGUACUGAGACACGGACCAAACUCCUACGGGAGGCAGCAGUGAGGAAUAUUGGUCAAUGGGCGAGAGCCUGAACCAGCCAAGUAGCGUGAAGGAUGAAGGUCCUAUGGAUUGUAAACUUCUUUUAUAGUAGAAUAAAGUGACCCACGUGUGGGUUUUUGUAUGUAUACUAUGAAUAAGGAUCGGCUAACUCCGUGCCAGCCGCCGCCGUAA
rnacentral:rRNA from 1 species